UGCAGUCGAGCGCGGGAAAGCGAGCUGAUCCCUUCGGGGUGACGCUCGUGGAACGAGCGGCGGACGGGUGAGUAACACGUGGGCAACCUGCCUGUAAGAUCGGGAUAACUCCGGGAAACCGGGGCUAAUACCGGGUAAUACUUUCUUUCGCAUGAAGGAAAGUUGAAAGAUGGCUUCUCGCUAUCACUUACAGAUGGGCCCGCGGCGCAUUAGCUAGUUGGUGAGGUAACGGCUCACCAAGGCGACGAUGCGUAGCCGACCUGAGAGGGUGAUCGGCCACACUGGGACUGAGACACGGCCCAGACUCCUACGGGAGGCAGCAGUAGGGAAUCUUCCGCAAUGGACGAAAGUCUGACGGAGCAACGCCGCGUGAACGAUGAAGGUCUUCGGAUCGUAAAGUUCUGUUGUUAGGGAAGAACAAGUACCGUGCGAAUAGAGCGGUACCUUGACGGUACCUAACGAGGAAGCCCCGGCUAACUACGUGCCAGCAGCCGCGGUAAUACGUAGGGGGCAAGCGUUGUCCGGAAUUAUUGGGCGUAAAGCGCGCGCAGGCGGUUCCUUAAGUCUGAUGUGAAAGCCCACGGCUCAACCGUGGAGGGUCAUUGGAAACUGGGGAACUUGAGGACAGAAGAGGAGAGUGGAAUUCCACGUGUAGCGGUGAAAUGCGUAGAUAUGUGGAGGAACACCAGUGGCGAAGGCGACUCUCUGGUCUGUUUCUGACGCUGAGGUGCGAAAGCGUGGGUAGCAAACAGGAUUAGAUACCCUGGUAGUCCACGCCGUAAACGAUGAGUGCUAGGUGUUAGGGGGCUUCCACCCCUUAGUGCUGAAGUUAACGCAUUAAGCACUCCGCCUGGGGAGUACGGCCGCAAGGCUGAAACUCAAAGGAAUUGACGGGGGCCCGCACAAGCGGUGGAGCAUGUGGUUUAAUUCGAAGCAACGCGAAGAACCUUACCAGGUCUUGACAUCCUUGGACCUCCCUAGAGAUAGGGAUUUCCCUUCGGGGACCAAGUGACAGGUGGUGCAUGGUUGUCGUCAGCUCGUGUCGUGAGAUGUUGGGUUAAGUCCCGCAACGAGCG
rnacentral:rRNA from 1 species